GCCAGCUUAGCUCAGUUGGUAGAGCCCCUGUCUUGUAAACAGGUUGUCAUCGGUUCGAGUCCGGUAGCUGGCU
rnacentral:tRNA from 2 species